AAAUAAUAAAAUAAAUAAAAUUAUGAUUUUUACUUAACAAAAAAUACAAAAACAUUAAACAUUAAUGUUAAUUAAAAAAUGCCCAACAAGUAAAAAAAAAAAAAAAAAAUUUGCGUUGACGCGUUGACCGGCCGGACGUUCGGCUGGACUUCCUGUAACACCCAAUCCGAAUGGACUAAUUUGCUAAUACCAUCUCUCACCCCGGAUUGCUAAUACCCCUCGCCCAAGGCCCAUCCCAGUCCCAACGGACUAACAAUCCGGAGGCCACAACACAAAACAAACAUGAGCUAUAUAUAUUGUUCAUCCAUCACAGUCCACUCUGGACUGUGAUGCGCCUAAACAAACGGGGCCAUAUAGUUGUUCAUUUUUUUGGAGACAUGAUAAAAUGAAAAGAUUACAAAUAUCGGAUCGACCUAUGUUUUUCCAUGCAGAUACACUGAAGCCAUGUUUGUUUGGACGGACAUGUGCUUGGGAUUGGACUAAUAGUCCAAUAAAAUUAUUAAUCCAAUGUUUGGUUACAAAAUUGAAGUACAGAUUAACAAUCUAUCCGGAUAUGGUAUCCCACAUAUGAUGGACUAUUCAAUCCCACAUAAGGGGUGAGAUAUAAAUUGGGGUACCAAGUCAAAAUCUAAACGAACUUAUCAAAUGACCAUAAUAGAGGUAUUAUGGUCAAUAUAUUGAAUGUUUCAUGUUGUUACAUGUCCUAUCCAUUCCAAUCCCCUUAACCAAACAUCGGAUUAGAUAAUAUUUUGUUAAUCCCUCCUUAUAAUUCUAACUCAAUCCAAACAUAGGAUAUGAUACACAGUCCAAAAGGAUUCAUAGUCUUAAGACUAUUAGUCAUGUGAAUGCUAAUCCAAUCUAAUCCAGUCCAUCUAAACAAACAUGGCCUAAGAGCGCUACAAAAUGAACAAUUCGGGUCAUUAAAACAAAAGUUAUGAUGGCCCAUGGACUCCUUAAGUUGUCUCAAGUUCAAAUUUGAACUGGAUAUAUAUAUAUAUACACACACACACACACACACACACCAGAUCACACAAGUCCAAAAAAAAAAACUAUAAAUAAAACCAUUACUGAGGAGGAGCACCAAUUCCACAAGAAAAACCUGAGCAUCUGGAGAAUGAAAUGUAGCAAAGCUAAAAUAAUACAUAUUGGGCUGAAAUAUAAUUGCAGAAUUUUCUCCAUCCAGUGGAGAGUAAAGAAAAGAGUAUAAUUACCCAAAAAGAAAUUGGGAAAAUGAUGUAAUAACUAAACAAUUUAUGAGACACAGGUCAUAAAAAGUGUAUGUACAUAGUACUCAAGUAUUGCAAUCUUGGUCUUUUUUCUUUUCAUAUAUAUAGAAGGGGGUGGGGGAUAGGAAAAAGAGUAUUCC